rnacentral:rRNA from 1 species
UACGGAGGGUGCAAGCGUUAUCCGGAAUCACUGGGUUUAAAGGGUGCGUAGGCGGCCCGAUAAGUCAGUCGUGAAAUCGCUGGGCUCAACCCAUGCAAUUGCGAUUGAUACUGUUGGACUUGAAUUAGGUUGAGGCUGGCGGAAUGCGACAUGUAGCGGUGAAAUGCUUAGAUAUGUCGCAGAACACCGAUUGCGAAGGCAGCCAGCUGGGCCUAUAUUGACGCUGAGGCACGAAAGCGUGGGGAGCAAACAGG